rnacentral:rRNA from 1 species
UCUUAGUACCCGGAGGAAGAGAAAGAAAAAUCGAUUCCCUGAGUAGCGGCGAGCGAAACGGGAAGAGCCCAAACCAACAAGCUUGCUUGUUGGGGUUGUAGGACACUCUAUACGGAGUUACAAAAGUAUAUAUUAGACGAAUCAUCUGGAAAGUUGAAUCAAAGAAGGUAAUAAUCCUGUAGUCGAAAAUAUAUACUCUCUUGAGUGGAUCCUGAGUACGACGGAGCACGUGAAAUUCCGUCGGAAUCUGGGAGGACCAUCUCCUAAGGCUAAAUACUCUCUAGUGACCGAUAGUGAACCAGUACCGUGAGGGAAAGGUGAAAAGUACCCCGGAAGGGGAGUGAAAGAGAACUUGAAACCGUGUGCUUACAAGUAGUCAGAGCCCGUUAAUGGGUGAUGGCGUGCCUUUUGUAGAAUGAACCGGCGAGUUACGAUUUGAUGCAAGGUUAAGCAGUGAAUGUGGAGCCGUAGCGAAAGCGAGUCUGAAUAGGGCGUUGAGUAUUUGGUCGUAGACCCGAAACCAGGUGAUCUACCCUUGGUCAGGUUGAAGUUCAGGUA